rnacentral:rRNA from 1 species
CAGCCGCCGCGGGAAUACGAAGGGUGCAAGCGUUACUCGGAAUUACUGGGCGUAAAGCGUGCGUAGAUGGUGGUUUAAGUCCGUUGUGAAAGCCCUGGGCUCAACCUGGGAAUUGCAGUGGAUACUGGGUCACUAGAGUGUGGUAGAGGAUAGUGGAAUUUCCGGUGUAGCAGUGAAAUGCGUAGAGAUCGGAAGGAACAUCUGUGGCGAAGGCGACUAUCUGGGCCAACACUGACACUGAGGCACGAAAGCGUGGGGAGCAAACAGGAUUAGAUACCCCUGUAGUCCCUGUCUCUUAUAC